rnacentral:lncRNA from 1 species
UCUCCAAUAGCAUACACUAUUUUUCAGAUUUGUUUUUCUUGUUUAUUAAAGGAAACAACAUUACAAUAUACGAAUUUCAUCAAUCCUUGCAAAAGCGCUCCUAGAGACCAAACAAAGAAGACCAAUUCUCUCACACACAACAACAACAACAACAACAACAACAAAAAAACAGAAAUAAACAAGAACCAAAUGAAAACCGAGUAUUUCCGGUUUGGUUUAAAUGUGUCAGACCAAUAAAAUCCAUCAGAAAAUUAUAUUCCACCAGAUAUACUCGACGACCAAUUCUCUCACACACAACAACAACAACAACAACAACAAUAACAACAACAAAAACAGAAAUAAACAAGAACCAAAUGAAAACCAAGUAUUUCCGGUUUGGUUUAAAUGUGUCAGACCAAUUUAAUCCAUCAGAAAAUUAUAUUCCACCAGAUAUACUCGACGACGUUAUCAAAAGCGCUAGCGUGGUCGAACACGGCACCUCUUCCGACACCAUAGCCAAAUCCUACACCGAGUCCACAACCAGCUCCAAAACCGAGCCCAAACUUUAGUUUAGGAACUCCUGGUCCGUAUCCUCCCAUAAGACCGGCUCCCAAACCAAAUCCACAACCGGCUCUAGCCCUAAGGCUUGACCAAUAUUUCCCACGCCUUCAAAAAGUUUCCACAACAAUCCCUUCUCAUCGUCUCUGCUGCUCUUUCUACUCCUCCUCAUGUAGCUCAUCGUUCCCCCUUUUAUUUAUUUUCUUGAGAAAACAAAACUUUUGGGGUGUGAAUGGAGUCUUGAUAGGGUUUAAAGAAAUCAUUCAUCAAUGUGCGGUAUAGUUUUUGGCUUUAUUAAUUAAAAAUUAAUGAACGUUACAAAACGAUGCAUAUGGAUGAAGAAAAAUAUUAAAAUAUAUUAUCCAUCAUUUGUCCAUUGCUUUAUUAGUUAACCAUGUUCUCUUUUUGUCUUCUUUUUGAUUCUUAUUCUAGUUGAUGGAUGUCAAGAAGAAAGAAAAAUGAGAUUGAGAGCAUUCACAUGGAAAUUAACAGAGGAUUUGGAAAGUAAAGAACGACCAAUGUUUCUCAAGUUCUCACGAUGCAGGCAUGAAGCUCAACAGAAAGCAGCUCAAACCCAAAAGAAAUGUUUUACGAAAAAACAAAACUCAAAAGAAAUGCAAUAUUCACAUACUCAGCCACCAUUCAACUUGUUUUUUUUUUUACCCUUUUCGUUGCUUAAAUUAGCUGAAGCAAAAGUGUUUCACUGCUAUUGAAACAUAAACACUUUUAGAAUAUAUAUCCAAA